rnacentral:rRNA from 1 species
GAAGUAAAAGUCGUAACAAGGUUUCCGUAGGUGAACCUGCGGAAGGAUCAUUACCUAGAGUUGUAGGCUUUGCCUGCUAUCUCUUACCCAUGUCUUUUGAGCACCUUAUGUUUCCUCGGUGGGCUCGCCCGCCGAUUGGACAAAAUUUAAACCCUUUGUAGUUUGUAAUCAGCGUCUGAAAAAAACUUAAUAGUUACAACUUUCAACAACGGAUCUCUUGGUUCUGGCAUCGAUGAAGAACGCAGCGAAAUGCGAUAAGUAGUGUGAAUUGCAGAAUUCAGUGAAUCAUCGAAUCUUUGAACGCACAUUGCGCCCCUUGGUAUUCCAUGGGGCAUGCCUGUUCGAGCGUCAUUUGUACCUUCAAGCUUUGCUUGGUGUUGGGUGCUUGUCUCGCCUUUGCGUGUAGACUCGCCUUAAAACAAUUGGCAGCCGGCGUAUUGAUUUCGGAGCGCAGUACAUCUCGCGCUUUGCACUCAUAACGGUGGCGUCCAAAAGUACAUUUUUACACUCUUGACCUCGGAUCAGGUAGGGAUACCCGCUGAACUUAAGCAUAUCAAUAAGCGGAGGA